rnacentral:rRNA from 1 species
AGCUAGUAGUUUGACGUCCUGGCUACGAGGACGAACGCUGGCGGCACGCUUAACACAUGCAAGUCGAACGGAGAUUAUUUGAGUUUACUUAGGUAAUCUUAGUGGCGGACGGGUGAGUAACACGUGAGCAACCUACCUUAGAGAGAGGGAUAGCUUCUGGAAACGGAUGGUAAUACCUCAUAACAUAGAUAGACCGCAUGAUUUAUCUAUCAAAGAUUUAUCACUCUGAGAUGGGCUCGCGUCUGAUUAGAUAGUUGGUGAGGUAACGGCUCACCAAGUCGACGAUCAGUAGCCGGACUGAGAGGUUGAACGGCCACAUUGGGACUGAGACACGGCCCAGACUCCUACGGGAGGCAGCAGUGGGGAAUAUUGCACAAUGGGGGAAACCCUGAUGCAGCGAUGCCGCGUGGAGGAAGAAGGUUUUCGGAUUGUAAACUCCUGUCUUAAAGGACGAUAAUGACGGUACUUUAGGAGGAAGCUCCGGCUAACUACGUGCC